rnacentral:rRNA from 1 species
AGUGAACGCUGGCGGUAGGCCUAACACAUGCAAGUCGAACGGCAGCACAGUAAGAGCUUGCUCUUACGGGUGGCGAGUGGCGGACGGGUGAGGAAUACAUCGGAAUCUACUUUUUCGUGGGGGAUAACUUAGGGAAACUUACGCUAAUACCGCAUACGACCUACGGGUGAAAGCAGGGGAUCUUCGGACCUUGCGCGAUUGAAUGAGCCGAUGUCGGAUUAGCUAGUUGGCGGGGUAAAGGCCCACCAAGGCGACGAUCCGUAGCUGGUCUGAGAGGAUGAUCAGCCACACUGGAACUGAGACACGGUCCAGACUCCUACGGGAGGCAGCAGUGGGGAAUAUUGGACAAUGGGUGCAAGCCUGAUCCAGCCAUACCGCGUGGGUGAAGAAGGCCUUCGGGUUGUAAAGCCCUUUUGUUGGGAAAGAAAAGCAGCAGGUUAAUACCCCGCUGUUCUGACGGUACCCAAAGAAUAAGCACCGGCUAACUUCGUG